UACAGCCAUAUCACAUUGAAACACUGAUUCUUGUACGAUCAUGAAAGUUAAGCAAUGUUGAGCCUGGUCAGUACCUAGAUGGGUAACCGCUUGGAAAUACCAGAUGCU